rnacentral:rRNA from 1 species
CAUGCAAGUCAACGGGAGUAUUAAUUUCGGUUUUUACUCCUAGUGGCGAACGGGUGAGUAACGCGUUGGUGACCUGCCCCGAAGCGGGGGAUAACAGUUCGAAAGGACUGCUAAUACCCCAUGUGGUCGUACAGGUUAGAGGCUGAACGACUAAAGGAGCAAUCCACUUCGGGAGGGGCCUGCGUCCCAUCAGCUAGUUGGUAAGGUAACGGCCUACCAAGGCGAUGACGGGUAGGGGACCUGAAAGGGUGGUCCCCCACACUGGCACUGAAACACGGGCCAGACACCUACGGGUGGCAGCAGUAGGGAAUAUUGCACAAUGGGCGAAAGCCUGAUGCAGCAACGCCGCGUGCGCGAAGAAGGCCUUCGGGUUGUAAAGCGCUUUUCUGGAGGAAGAGGAAGGACGGUACUCCAGGAAUAAGGAUCGGCUAACUACGUGCCAGCAGCCGCGGUAACACGUAGGAUCCGAGCGUUAUCCGAAUUUACUGGGCGUAAAGCGCGUGUAGGCCGGCCGGGUAAGUUGGACGUGAAAGCUCCUGGCUCAACUAGGAGAGGUCGUUCAAAACUGCCUGGCUAGAGGGCGACAGAGGGAGGUGGAAUUCCCGGUGUAGUGGUGAAAUGCGUAGAUAUCG